CAUUCAUUUACCCUAACUCAAAUCAAAAACAAGCAAAGGCGAAAAUUUGUGCAAACACACUUCCAAGGCUGCAUCAAGGCUCCAAUCACAUUGCUAUACAACAUUCAAAAGCCCACAAAUCACUCAAUUUGAACAUGUCAGGCAACCAACCAGCACGCAUCAGACAGGGUAGGGAGACCCAGACUGCGUCAGCUACACAGGGAAUGGGUGGCGCUAAGGGAAAAAAGGAGGUGAAGGAGAAGAAGAAGGUUUCGACCGGCUCUACUUCGUGCUCUCGCGGAGUGAAGGAGGUGAAGGAGA